rnacentral:misc_RNA from 1 species
UCUUAUAUUGCUGAAGCAAUCGCUCCUUUGUUUUCAACUGCUAAAGAGCUGAUCCGACCCAGUAGAGGCGAUGAGGAGGAUAGUACACCAGCUCUAAUCCUUUGUCAUGUCAUUCGCAGAGUUGAUGAACCAUCUAUACUUUCAACAGCGUCUGAAUUUGGUUUCAGGUUGGUGGAUAGGUGGCCUAAUGCACUAACCUCAACUAGUACAUCUCAGAACAUAAUCCAAAGUUGGUUCUCCGAUGGCAGCCUUGAAACUUGUAUUCCUACCACUGCACUGAAUAUUCUGUAUUUCCACAAGUUGUAGGUUUUGAUCUUGGAGGAAUUUUGUUAUGUGCUUCCAUAGAAAGGGGAAACGUUCCAGAAAGCUAGUCAAGAGUUCUGCCG